AUUGAACGCUGGCGGCAUGCUUUACACAUGCAAGUCGAACGGUAACAGGUUAAGCUGACGAGUGGCGAACGGGUGAGUAAUGCAUCGGAACGUGCCCGGUCGUGGGGGAUAACGCAGCGAAAGCUGCGCUAAUACCGCAUACGAUCUGAGGAUGACAGCGGGGUACCGUAAGGCCUCGCGCGCUCGGAGCGGCCGAUGUCAGAUUAGGUAGUUGGUGGGGUAAAGGCUCACCAAGCCAACGAUCUGUAGCUGGUCUGAGAGGACGACCAGCCACACUGGGACUGAGACACGGCCCAGACUCCUACGGGAGGCAGCAGUGGGGAAUUUUGGACAAUGGGCGAAAGCCUGAUCCAGCAAUGCCGCGUGCAGGAAGAAGGCCUUCGGGUUGUAAACUGCUUUUGUACGGAGCGAAAAGGUCUCCUCUAAUACAGGGGGCUCAUGACGGUACCGUAAGAAUAAGCACCGGCUAACUACGUGCCAGCCGCCGCAGUAA
rnacentral:rRNA from 1 species